UUUGUGUGUUAAAUAUUUCCGCGCAAAGGACAAGAUAUCUGUUUUCUUGGGCUAAGUACCGAAUUUUGGCCUAAAAAAAUGAGAUAAAGUCACUUGAAAGCGUUUGCAACGUACGCGUCCGGCAAAAUUUUGCGUCCGAAAAAUUUUUUUUACCUCUAAAAUGGUACACUGACCGAAAAAUUUUUGGCGACGGGGGGGGGGGAGGUCGCCAAAAUAAUAUCCGGAAAAAAAUUUUCCGGAAAAAUUAUUUUAGGUAGGGCCCCCUAAAAAAAAUUUGCCCCGGGCCCCCGCCAACCUCUGGGCGGCCCUGGCGGUUUGGACUUUGGGCUGUAAAUGACUUCCAAUGGUUUGUGGUCAGUGAUGAGGUCAAAUUGUGUUCCAACAAGGUAAAGAUGAAAACGUUCACAACCCCACACUGCAGC